rnacentral:tRNA from 1 species
UCAAUUUGGCAGAAUUAUGUGUCAGAUUUAAGUUUUGGAGAUGGGGUUGACUC